UUUUCUAUUGGAAAAUUUAUCUCAUUAUUUUUCGAAACUAUCCUGAAGAUAUUUUGAAUUCGUAUAAUUAAUUCUCUCAUUUGUUUCAUCAGCUUGAUCGUGUGUGCACGCUCGACGAUUCGUCCUCGUCAUGCCUCGAGGCGGAUUAUCACCUCGCGAUAAUGACGAUGGAAAUUAUGUCACGGAUGUUACAGAAGAAUGCACUCGUGAUACUGGAAGAAAUUAUUUUCAUUUCCACGGGUUUACGGCAAGAUAGAAAUUUCUCUUCCAUAGAGUCGACGAUGAAAUUGAUCGCGCCAUAAAGGCGGAUACCGGUAGUGAAUUUCCAGUCUUUCUUCGCGUAUCUCGCGAUACGGAAAAUUUCCGGUACUCUGAAACUUUAAACAGACACAUGUUGAUCAAUGUAAAUUUUUCAGAUGACAAGUCUACGUAAUUCAAUUGAACUCGGAUAUUGUUCACCAUCUAAUUAUCUAUCCGGCUCCCUCUUGAGUGUUCAAGUUCGCAUCUCACUCUCUCUUUCUUCAGCAUCAUCAUUUAGGAAGAAAGUUCAGACGAUACAACGUAAAAGGAAAAGUACCAUAGAAAGCAUCUUUACUCGAGAAAUUAUGUGAAAAGGCUUGGGCGUGCCCUUUCGACGAGACACUCUUUGGUUUAACGUUACCGUUAUAGGUAAAGGGCAUUGCACGCAUUCCUCGAAACCAAACUUACGUAAUAAGAAGAAGCGAAGAGAUGAUAAGAAAGAAAAAAAGAACCGUUGUAAUCCCAACAUAUAUAAAAUUAUCCAAACAUGAAAUGCAUCAUUCGAUGUUACAGCAAUUUAAAAUGCCAGGAAGACUAAAGAAGCAAUGACGCGAGCAGUGACAAUAUGAUGACAAAAAUGUGACAAAUGUGCUUCGCUUUUGACCUCUUUACGUCAGAUUGGAUGAUUGUCGGACGAUUAUGCGUUUCUCGUUACCGGAUUUACCCGAGUCCGGUGCCGAAUUAUGCAACAAUUCGUGAAGAAACCUGCUGGCCCAUGAGAGCUUUAACUAUCGUCGCUGAUGGACGACGGCGUUUCGGGAGGUCGAACGACGAUGAAAGUCGUCCUCCUCGUGUAAUAAAGAUGUUGCGUGAAAGUGUCGCAACGGUAUUUUUUUAAGGAGACAAACGAGAAGACAAUCGUAAUAUUACGUGAAAAGAUAUAUU